rnacentral:rRNA from 1 species
CUACGGGAGGCUGCAGUGGGGAAUUUUGCGCAAUGGGCGAAAGCCUGACGCAGCAAUACCGCGUGAGUGAAGAAGGCCUUUGGGUCGUAAAGCUCUUUUAUUGGGGAAGAUAGUGACGGUACCCAAUGAAUAAGCACCGGCUAACUCCGUGCCAGCAGCCGCGGUAAUACGGAGGGUGCAAGCGUUGUUCGGAUUUACUGGGCGUAAAGGGCACGUAGGCGGCAUAGUAAGUUAAGGGUGAAAUCCCGGGGCUCAACUCCGGAACUGCUCUUAAAACUGCUAAGCUUGAGAUGGUCAGAGGCGGGUAGAAUUCCUGGUGUAGAGGUGAAAUUCGUAGAUAUCAGGAGGAAUACCGGAGGCGAAGGCGGCCCGCUGGGACUAUUCUGACGCUAAGGUGCGAAAGCGUGGGGAGCAAACGGGAUUAGAUACCCCCGUAGUC